GAAUAUUGCACAAUGGGCGAAAGCCUGAUGCAGCGACGCCGCGUGAGGGAUGACGGCCUUCGGGUUGUAAACCUCUUUCAGUAGGGAAGAAGCGAAAGUGACGGUACCUGCAGAAGAAGCGCCGUCUCCCUACGUGCCAGCAGCCGCGGUAAUACGUAGGGCGCAAGCGUUAUCCGGAAUUAUUGGGCGUAAAGAGCUCGUAGGCGGGUUGUCGCGUCUGCCGUGAAAGUCCGGGGCUCAACCCCGGAUCUGCGGUGGGUACGGGCAGACUAGAGUGAUGUAGGGGAGACUGGAAUUCCUGGUGUAGCGGUGAAAUGCGCAGAUAUCAGGAGGAACACCGAUGGCGAAGGCAGGUCUCUGGGCAUUAACUGACGCUGAGGAGCGAAAGCAUGGGGAGCGAACAGG
rnacentral:rRNA from 1 species